rnacentral:rRNA from 1 species
CAACGUAGGUAACCUGCCCAUGUGUCCGGGAUAACUGCUGGAAACGGUAGCUAAAACCGGAUAGGUAUACAGAGCGCAUGCUCAGUAUAUUAAAGCGCCCUUCAAGGCGUGAACAUGGAUGGACCUGCGGCGCAUUAGCUAGUUGGUGAGGUAACGGCCCACCAAGGCGAUGAUGCGUAGCCGGCCUGAGAGGGUAAAUGGCCACAUUGGGACUGAGACACGGCCCAA